AUGAGGUGUCCACCUUCAGGGCAGACCUCGGUGUUCCAGGCAGCGGGGCAGGAAGGCAGGGCUAUGGUCUCAGGAGAAGCUGGACAGGGCCUGCCCUCACUUGUGAUGGAACCCUUCCUGCACACCCUCUCAGGUCCUCCCGGGCUGGUACCCAGAUCUACAGCCUCCCAUCCCAGACCAUCCAGUGCUGAAGCGACUUCUUUCCACCCCUGUCUACCGCCCCCCCCCCCCCCACAACUUCUUCCCCUCGCGGAGCGCCCCCCCCCCUCCCCGCGCAGGGCACCCACAGUCAGAAACUCCCUGGAAGGCCCAGCAACCUGCCCGUCUCCACCCCUGGAGUUCUCUCAGCUUGGCCCCGGCCUGGAGAUGGUGGGGAGAGCUGCUCGGUCCCUUCCCGAGGCAGGGAAGGCGGAGGGAGACUGGGAAAGCAGGCUGGUGCUCGGUGUCGCAAUUCCGGGCCGGGCCGGGACCUUUGCUCUGCGAGAUGUCUCCGGAGGGGAGGGGACGACUCUGGAGGCUGCGGAGAGGGGGCGGGGGGGGGUUGCCUGGGAGGCAGCGGUUUGUGUAAGAGCCGCCGGGGUGAGGAGAGGAAGGGGAGAGUCGCGGGCCGCUCCGCGGGGACAUGCGGCCGCCGGGCUCGGGGGGCAGGGGCAGCGGUGGCGCCGGGCCGAGGGGGCGGCCGGCCGGCAGGGGCGGAGUCAGCUGGGGGGGCGGGGGCGAGGAGGCCCGGGCUCCAGUCGGUCGGCCCCGGGCUCCCGGCCCCUGUCUCGCUCAGCUCGGGCGCUCCGGCCGCCGCCGAGGCCUGCGGACCGGGACUGCAGCAUCCUGCUCUCCCAGCAAGGGGGCUCCAGAGACUGCCCCGGCCGGGAAGUCUGGCGGCCUGGGCACCGGUGGGUCUGCGCCUCAGCUCUGGCCUCGAGCUCUGCGUCUGCGUGUCCGGGAGUGGGGGCGGGGUGUCCCGGGGCUUUAGAAAGGGGGUCUCUGGGGAGCGACGAGGGAGGGUGGUGA
rnacentral:lncRNA from 1 species